GACGAACGCUGGCGGCGUGCUUAACACAUGCAAGUCGAGCGGAAAGGCCACUUCGGUGGUACUCGAGCGGCGAACGGGUGAGUAACACGUGAGUAAUCUGCCCCUGGCUUUGGGAUAGCCACCGGAAACGGUGAUUAAUACCGGAUAUGACCACUUCUCGCAUGGGUUGUGGUGGAAAGUUUUUCGGCCAGGGAUGUGCUCGCGGCCUAUCAGCUUGAUGGUGAGGUAAUGGCUCACCAUGGCUUCGACGGGUAGCCGGCCUGAGAGGGUGACCGGUCACACGGGGAAGGAGACCCGGCCCAGACUCCUACGGGAGGCAGCAGUGGGGAAUAUUGGACAAUGGGCGGAAGCCUGAUCCAGCAACGCCGCGUGAGGGAUGACGGCCUUCGGGUUGUAAACCUCUUUCAGUACCGACGAAGCGCGAGUGACGGUAGGUACAGAAGAAGCACCGGCCAACUACGUGCCAGCCGCCGCGGUAAGAC
rnacentral:rRNA from 1 species